CUCAGGGAGUCCAAUUAGCAAGCCAUCGCCCUAAUGCCACUGUGAACUCACAAUGGCUGGGCUGGUGGAAGAGCACGGAUGAAAGAAGGGAUGGCAGUGUUGGUUCAGCAUUGGAAGAGCCACCCCCAAAAGUCAUCAUUUAAACAGAGGAAAGGAAAAAGCCAUAUGAUCCUGUCACUAGUUGGAGAAAAAGUAUUGGACUAAAUUCUACAGCUGUUCAUGGUAAAAGCUAUCAGGAGUCUAGAAGUAGAACAGAAACUUCUCAACUGAUUGAAGACAUGUACUCCAUACUUCCAGCAAGAAUGCCUUAUAUGAAUGGAGAAGAUACAAUGCUUUCUUCUUAAGCUCUUCAAGGAGAACACAGUGCAUUGUUGGAUCAUGGCUGACAUCAGGCCUUCCUGGUCAUCGAGGAAGAGUUGCUUGCUGCUCCUGCUCCGGGUCUCCAAGAAAUUGGAAAGCCCUUGAUCUAUUUCCACAAAGGACAAGGAGUAAAACCCAGAGUAUUACCCCAAACUGAGCUCGAAGGUCACUCUCACUGAAACCCGACUCUACACAUGGGCCUGUGCAGGUGUUUGAUGGGUGAGCUUUCAACGUCAGAGGACCCAAAGCUCCACCCUGAAGUCACAUCGAUGCUACCACUUCCUGAAUGCUUCCCAAGAAGAAUUAUGAAAAUUGAUUAUUUAUACAAAAACUACCAAGCACUUCACCUCCAAUCACCUCUCCCCAGGCUUCAAUCACCCCACUUCCCACCAGUACCCAUCGAUGUUACCUGCAGUCUCCUGUCACCUCACAUGUGACCAGCUCAUAAGGAAACUGUCACUCUUUGGCAAAAUUAUUGUUUUAGUGACAGGCAGACUGCACAGCAGGCAAAACGGGCAUGGGUCCAUAAUGUUGGCUUCUGUAAAUAUGGGGCAGUCACUGUUUUCAUGACAUAAAAGGGAGGUCAUGGGUGGAGGACACAGGGCUGUGGCUUGGGAGGCUGAGUGUCCAACCUGGCCUCAUGCAAAUCAGUGUCCUGUGGAAGGGCAACUCAGCGAGAAAAUGAGGGUGGUCAGCUGGGUUUCCUCCCUCCCUAAGAGCCUCAAUUUAAAAUGCCCAAACUCUAAAAGUGAAUUCAGUCCCUUUGAAGAGUUACCCUCAAAUAAAAUAUUAACUUGUAAGUAAAAAUGACUCAUUUCUUCUCAGUGUAAUACUCUGAUGAAAUACUCACUUUAAUCUUAAUUUGCCC
rnacentral:lncRNA from 1 species